UACAGAGGGUGCGAGCGUUAAUCGGAAUUACUGGGCGUAAAGCGUGCGCAGGCGGUUCGCCAAGUCAGGUGUGAAAUCCCCGGGCUUAACCUGGGAAUUGCGCUUGAAACUAGCGGGCUUGAGUGUGGCAGAGGGGGGUGGAAUUCCACGGUGUAGCAGUGAAAUGCGUAGAGAUGUGGAGGAACACCGAUGGCGAAGGCAGCCCCCUGGGUCAACACUGACGCUCAUGCACGAAAGCGUGGGGAGCAAACAGG
rnacentral:rRNA from 1 species